rnacentral:rRNA from 1 species
GGUAAUGCCGGAUGUUCCACAUGAUCGCAUGUGAUUGUGGGAAAGAUUCUAUCGGCGUGGGAUGGGGUCGCGUCCUAUCAGCUUGUUGGUGAGGUAACGGCUCACCAAGGCUUCGACGGGUAGCCGGCCUGAGAGGGCGACCGGCCACAUUGGGACUGAGAUACGGCCCAGACUCCUACGGGAGGCAGCAGUGGGGAAUAUUGCACAAUGGGCGCAAGCCUGAUGCAGCGACGCCGCGUGAGGGAUGGAGGCCUUCGGGUUGUAAACCUCUUUUGUUUGGGAGCAAGCCUUCGGGUGAGUGUACCUUUCGAAUAAGCGCCGGCUAACUACGUGCCAGCAGCCGCGGUAAUACGUAGGGCGCAAGCGUUAUCCGGAUUUAUUGGGCGUAAAGGGCUCGUAGGCGGCUCGUCGCGUCCGGUGUGAAAGUCCAUCGCUUAACGGUGGAUCUGCGCCGGGUACGGGCGGGCUGGAGUGCGGUAGGGGAGACUGGAAUUCCCGGUGUAACGGUGGAAUGUGUAGAUAUCG